ensembl:lncRNA
AUGGGCCGAAAGAAGAAGACUUUACAUGACUAUGCAGCUGAGUUUACAGACCUGGGGGUAAAACGGCAUGUGAUUGAACACAGUGAGUCUGGGGGCACCUCUGUGGUAGAGACUCUAUACUGCAAAUCCUGUGAGCUGCCCAUGAGGGUGAGGAGGGACCGCAUCCUGGAGCACCUGUCCUCUGGCAGGCAUUAUAGGAACCGUCACCGCAUGAAGCAGCGUGGAGGCCAAACUCCCAUCUUUAUAUCAGCAGCCUCAGACCUGAGUAGCCACCUCCCUGUACAGGUUGAUCCUCCUCCAGCCUUGCUUUCUCAGCCUCCCUAUGUUUUCCCAGGCGUUCCCUGCCUUACCAGUACCAGUGCCAGCAUGGUGCCUUCACCUCCUUCCUACCACAGAGCUUUGCUCCCUGCCCACCUCAGUGCUAUCAGCUCCACAACCAGUGCCGUGCCUGUCAGAGAAGACCAAACUCCAUCUACCUCCACCAACCACCCUUCUGCAUUCACGACUCUUCACGUGAAAAGCCCCGCCGUCCCCUCAGAACAGAAUAGCCAAAGGCUUAUUGUUUCAGAAGCAUCCAGCAGUGUGGCUUCUGGAAGCGGAGUAGGAUGGCUUCUUAGUGAUGGGGCUUUGGGAAGCAGCCUUGGCCUUGCUCUCUUUGGUGUAGGCUCUGGGAACAAGGCAUUGUUUCAGAGCUUAGUGGAAGAAGACAGCUGCUGCCUGCUCUACGUGGUUGAAGAUCAGCUGUCAGAUGUCGAGCAGGCCUUCAGAUCAGACCAUUUGGUGAACACCCGCGUGCUUCGGGAGCAAGAUGCCAACAUUGUACUUAAUGAUCAGCGUGUCUCUGGAGUCAUUAUCUGUUCACCCCCUGAAGCAGCUUCUGAAAUUGUGAUGGGUGCAUUGAGAGCAGGCAAAGGUGUGUUUUGUGAGAAACUCCCUAGUUUGGAUAGACAGAUUGCUGAGAUGUGUUUCGAUGAAGCUAACAGAUGUGGGAAACCAUUAGUCUGUGGAUUCUACAAGCGUUUUGAUCCAGCUUUACAAUUCUUGUACCAGAAAGUCGGUGAGAGCCGCGCGCUAGGGAGGAUACAUCGGAUAGCAGUCGUUAGCAGCAUCUAUCCACCAGCUUCUCCCAGUUUGCUAAGGAAGUCAGGUGGGAUCUUUUAUAACGCUGCUGUGCAUGACGUGGACAUCGUCAGUCUCUUGUUGGGAGAGAGUGUUCCAGACACAGUCUUUUCUUUGGGUCAUGCGUUCUGCUCAGAUGUGGCCUCUUUGAAAGAUGCAGACAGUGUCAUGGUCAGCAUGAAGUUUCCUAGUGGGGCCAUUGUUAGUUUGGAUAUCAGUCAACACUGCACCAAAAGCUGUGACCUGAGAGUGGAGGUUCAUGGUUCUCAAGGAACUUUACGGGUCGAUAAUCAGAAUCCCUUGGGGAUUACUGAGCGUGGAACCUCCGUGUCCAUAUACUCACACACACAUGUCGAUCGGUACCAAGAAGCAUAUAGAGGACUCUUUCGACACUUUCUCAGAACCCUUAAAGGAAAAGAACCCCCAACUGUCCCCAAAGAACAGUUUCUCUGGACCAUUCAGGUGGCUGCAGCAGCUGAGCAAUCCUGGCGGAAUGGGUCAGCUGUCGACUUCAGCAAUGAAGGUUGAGAUAUAAAUGCGAUGUCGGUUAUCAAGAUGGAAAUACUGUGAAGAGGGAAUAACUGACUUAAGUUUUGCUGAAGAAGACAACCUUAUACCUAUUUCCAUUUUCAUUAAUUUAAAAAAAUUAAUUGCAGUGUUUUGUGACUUUAUUUUCACUGGAAACCAUGAGCUGGGAACUUUGGGGAAAUGUGUGUAUAUGGUAAUGGUGUAGCAAGUAAUUUUCUUAGGAUGUUGUAUUAGGCCCAAAAAUGAAGCUUGAAAGGCAUCAUUCUGUUAGUGUGUAUUUUUCCUUGUGUUCGAAGGAGGCAUUUAGGUGAGAAAGGCUGACAUUUUGUUUUUAAAGAACACGUAUGCAUUAUCCAUCCUGAGAAACAUACCAGCCAUUUACUUCCCACACUGUGGCAACAAAACAUGCUUCUGUGAAAAUAGGUUUGUUGCCCCCGCAUGGAUAUGUGGUCUGUUUUGGGGGGCGAGGGCGGGGAGGAAGGAUGGAGUGAUGCUCCUUUUUCUUUUGAGACGGGGUGGGACAAACAGUCUAAGAUAGGGCUCUUUUCCCCCUCAGACAGUCAAAUCUAGAUGAGAUUGUGUAUAAAUGUUACAGAAAAAGAUAGUGCCUUCCAAAAUGGGCCACUCUGCUUUAACUCAAGUUUGGGGUUAUCUUUUUUAUUCUUAUGUCAGACUUACUGCAGAUGUUUUUAUAUAUUUGAAGAUUCUUGUCUGUAAUUUCUCAUAUCCUACUUUUUCAAAUAAAAGUAAGUUUUCUAAC